rnacentral:rRNA from 1 species
AGGGGUGAAAGGCCAAUCAAAUUCCGUGAUAGCUGGUUCUCUCCGAAAUGCAUUUAGGUGCAGCGUCGGUUGAUUGCAUCGCGGGGGUAGAGCUACUGGAUGCUUGCGGGCCCGUAUGGGGUACCAAUAGCAGCCAAACUCCGAAUACCGUGGAUGUGUAUUCCGGCAGUGAGUCGGCGGGGGAUAAGCUCCGUCGUCGAGAGGGAGACAGCCCAGAUCGUCGUCUAAGGUCCCGAAGCGUGUGCUAAGUGGGAAAGGAUGUGGAGUCGCAUAGACAGCCAGGAGGUUGGCUCAGAAGCAGCCAUCCUUGAAAGAGUGCGUAACAGCUCACUGGUCUAGUGGUUCCGCGCCGACAAUGUAGCGGGGCUCAAGCACACCACCGAAGACGCGGCAGCGGCCUUUGCGGCCGUUGGGUAGGAGAGCGUCCCGCGUGGGGCGAAGCGGCCGGGGAACCGUGCCGUGGACCGCGCGGGAGUGAGAAUGCAGACAUGAGUAGCGAGAGACGGGUGAGGAUCCCGUCCGCUGGAUGACCAAGGGUUCCGGGGCCACGUUCGUCGUCCCCGGGUGAGUCGGGUCCUAAGGCGAGGCCGACAGGCGUAGUCGAAUGGAUGAACGGGUGGAUAUUCCCGUACCGGCGGCGUACCGUAAGAGCCGAACGGAUGAGUACUAACCUCCGGUCGCGUGGCGUCGUUCCCUUCGGGGUUCGGUGUCCGCGGUCGUUGGGAGCGUAGUCCCGGUAGGCUAGCGCACAGGGGUGACACGGAAUGGGAGCCGGCCGCGGAGGUGGUUUUCCGUGGUCAAGCACGCAGCCCGUCCCAUAGGCAAAUCCGUGGGGCAUGUAGGGUGAGGUGUGAUGAUGGGCGUCCUUUGGACGCGAUAUCCGGUGGUCCAGGCCGUCGAGAAAAGCCUCGGCGCGAGGGGCGUCGCCGCCCGUACCCCAAACCGACACUGGUGGUCAGGUAGAGAAUACCAAGGCGAUCGAGCGAAUCCUGGUCAAGGAACUCGGCAAAUCACUCCCGUGCCUUCGGUAUAAGGGAGACCCCCGGGCGUGAAGAGGCUUGCCCUCGGAGCGUUGGGGGGUGGCACAGACCAGGGGGUAGCGACUGUUUACCAAAAACACAGGUGCAUGCGAAGGCGCAAGCCGCUGUAUAUGCACUGACGCCUGCCCGGUGCCGGAAGGUUAAGAGGAUCCGUCAGUCCCUUUUGGGGUGAAGCGGUGAAUUCAAGCCCCGGUAAACGGCGGUGGUAACUAUAACCAUCCUAAGGUAGCGAAAUUCCUUGUCGGGUAAGUUCCGACCUGCACGAAUGGCGUAACGACUUCCCCACUGUCUCGACCAGGAGCUCGGCGAAAUUGCAGUACGAGUAAAGAUGCUCGUUAAGCGCAGAAGGACGAAAAGACCCCGGGACCUUUACUAUACCUUGGUAUUGGCGUUAGGCGCGGAUUGUGUAGCAUAGGCGGGAGGCUUCGAAGCAUGGGCGCCAGCCCGUGUGGAGCCGCAAGGUGAAAUACCGCUCUGUUCUCGUUUGACGUCUAACCUCGAACAGUCAUCCUGUUCAGGGACAGUGCCUGGCGGGUAGUUUAACUGGGGCGGUUGCCUCCCAAAGAGUAACGGAGGCGCUCAAAGGUCCGCUCAGCCCGGUUGGCAAUCGGGUUUCGAGUGUAAUCGCACAAGCGGGCUUGACUGCGAGAACGACGGUUCGGGCAGGGACGAAAGUCGGAGAUAGUGAUCCGGUGCCGGCGCACGGGCGCGGCAUCGCUCAACGGAUAAAAGGUACCCCGGGGAUAACAGGCUGAUCAUUCC